GUCAAUUUCAUACACUUUGUAACAACCCAGCACGUACAUCUGAUGACUCCUCAUAACACCACACAGCGCUGAGGACUCCGUACGCCUCUGUGGUCAAUAAGUAGCUGAAAAACUAUGCUGAGUACUUCAACAUCGUCAAGUGGUCAGCCUGCAUUUGAUUACAACCUACCAUUGUUUGCAGGCUCCUUAUUACUACUCCAACUGCUCAAGAAGCAAACGUCUGUGUUGAAUCAUACAGCAGUUGGCAAGGUGAAGUGUAGCACCAUCAGAAGAAAUUGAGGGACAUGAGAAUCGCUGUACAACUUCAGGAAGCUACCUUGCAUCAAAUUAUUCAAAAGACAAUCAGAAGGAGCUAAAACUAUCAAGGAAGAUGGUCCUUCCCCCCCCACCUUCAUGAACCACGAGCUUCCAAAGGAAAGCAGAGAGGAAGAACUGGUCUCUCCUUCCUGGGAACACAGGACAGAAUAUGGUGGAAUGGCACAAAGCUGCACCAGGACAAGUUCAGAGUGGACAGAAGGAACAAUUUCUUUGCCAUAAGCCAUAAGGAACUCUGCAGAACAACAUUAAUAAAGCCUUCUGAUGAAAUAAUCAAAGUACCAAUGUGUGCUCAGUGAAAUGAACAUGAGAAGGUGUGAGAUCAGCGAGUGACAGAAGACAACGCUACAGCAAGCCAGACAUACCCAGAUCUUGAUAGAACAGACAAGGAGAGAAGUGUUACAGGUCAUGCACACAGCCAAAGGCAACUGCAGAUGAAGCUUUCAAAAUAAAAGCUUCCAGGCAGUGCAUUACACUGCAGAGCAAAGCUAAGGACUCAGAACUUCUGUGAAACCAUAGAAUUUAAAUUAAUUUUAGAAGAAAUGUACCAAAUUAUUUCACCUCCCGCACGUACUGCUACUGAAAGCUGUAAGACAACAGAAAUGCAAUUCACACUUUAACCAGAUGUUUCAACCUGAGGCAACGUGAAAUUAUUUCCUAUUCCUGAGCACUUCUUUAAUGGAUUCUCAAUAUUGCUAAUGCCUUUCUGGAGUGCUACAAGGAGGUAGAUUUGGCUGAAGAAAAGCAUGCAUCCUCUACAACAGAUUUGAAGUAUCUCCUUGUACUGAAGUGAGGCAAAUUCCUCUCCAAGUGUUGCAGAGACCAGAAACCCAGAAAAAGACACUUCGUGAGACAAUUUCUCAAGAGCUCUGACUAUGGAAUCUUUAAGAAAGAAAAGCAGCUCUGGAUAAUCCUGCCUGAUUGCCUCUGAUUAAUGCUAACAUCAUACACUGAAAGCAUUGUUAGAUAAGAGCAUAGAAGACCUUGAAGUAGUCUACUGCAAAAUAGGUACUGACGCUUUAACGGUACAUCUAAUUUCCG
ensembl:lncRNA